AGAGAAUGGGUGAUGAAGAAGCUUUUAGACUGGUUAAGAUUGAUAAAGAUUCCGAUGAGUUUAAAGAGGUAGAAGAUUACUUUAAAAAGAAUGGAGCAGCCGGAACAGUUGUUGAGAUUCAACGUGUACAGAAUAGAUCUUUGUAUCAGCAAUAUGCAGCAAAGAAAAGAGAGCUCGUUAAGAGAAACCCUGGCAUUGAAAAUGAGAAGAAACUGUUUCAUGGCUCCACUCACAAAACAAUUGAUGAUAUAAACAAAACAGGUUUCAAUCGGAGUUACUGUGGUGUAAACGGUACCUGGUAUGGUUAUGGAGUAUAUUUUGCCCAAUCUUCCAAAUAUUCGGAAUCAUUUACAGAUGAGGAUAGCAACAACCACAGAAAGCUUUACCUGGUUAACGUACUUGUUGGAAAAUCAGUAGAAACAAAAAAAGACACAAAAGUUCUCCCUAAACAACCCGGGCUGGAUAUUCCAUAUGACUCUGGAAAAGCCCCACCUGAUCGACUAGAAGGAAUAUACGUCAUCUUUCAUGACAGCCAAGCGUAUCCAGAAUAUAUUAUUACCUUUAGCUUACAAGCAGCUCCCGCUAUAGUUUAGAUAGCACGAAAAAA